AUGGCCUACGGGACGCAGCAGUGAGGAAUAUUGGUCAAUGGCCGAAGGGCUGAACCAGCCAAGCCGCGUGAAGGAAUAAGGCCCUACGGGUCGUAAACUUCUUUUGUCAGGGAACAAAGGCGGGGACGUGUCCCCGGAUGAGUGUACCUGAAGAAAAAGCAUCGGCUAACUCCGUGCCAGCAGCCGCGGUAAUACGGAGGAUGCGAGCGUUAUCCGGAUUUAUUGGGUUUAAAGAGUGCGCAAGCGGUCUGUUAAGUCAGCGGUCAAAGCCCGGGGCUCAACCCCGGCCCGCCGUUGAAACUGGG
rnacentral:rRNA from 1 species